UUGGAAGUGUGACUGGAGGUCACAGCAGU
rnacentral:piRNA from 1 species